AAAGGGACAUUUUCAAAAAUACCUUCUUCAUUAAGUGGUAAAAGACUCUUAUGCCCUUGUUCUUGAUAAAUAUAAUAAAUAAAUAUUUAAAUAAAUAAAAAUCUAAAAAAAUAAAAAAUAAUUUUGUUAAUUUUUUUUCGAGUUAUACUAUUUCGAAAUUCAAACGCUAAACUCUAAAACUCAACUUUAAACCGUAAACCAUCAAUCCUAAACCCUAUUUCUUUUUUGAAAUACGAACCCUAAACCUUAAACCAUCAAUCCUAAACCUUUUUUUUUUUGAAAUACGAACCCUAAACCCUGAAACAUCAACUCUAAACCCUAAACCCCGAAACAUAAACUCUAAACUCUAAACCCUAAACCCUAAACCUUCAACUCUAAACCCUAAAUCAUCAACUCUAAACCCUAAACCCUAAACUUCAACUCUAAACCCUAAACCAUCAACACUAAACCCUAAACCCUAAAAAGUAAACUCUAAACCCUAAACCCUAAAAAAUUAACCCUAAAUCCUAAGACAUCAACUCUAAACCCUAAAUCCUAAACCUUCAACUCUAAACCCUAAAAUCUAAACCCUAAACCCUAAACCCUAAAACCCUAGAGUUGGUGUUUUAGGGUUUACAUUUAAAGGUUUAGUGUUUUAGGGUUUAGGGUUUACGUUUAGGGUUUAGAGUUGAUGUUUUAUGGUUUAGAUUCGAAAGUUUAGGGUUUUAGGGUUUAGGGUUUGAAUUUUAGAAAAAUAUAGGGUUUAGGGUUUAGGGUUUAGAGUUGAUGUUUUAGGGUUUAGAUUUGAAGGUUUAGAGUUUAGGGUUUAGAGUUGGUGUUUCGUGGUUUAGGGUUUAGAGUUGAUGUUUCACGGUUUAGGGUUUAGAGUUCACGGUUUAGGGUUUAGAGUUGAUGAUUUAGGGUUUAAAGUUGAUGUUUUAAGUUUAGAUUUAGGGUUUAGGGUUUACGUGUAGGGUUUAGAGUUGAUGUUUUAGGGUUUAGAUUUAAAAGUUUAGGGUUUAGGGUUUAGGGUUUAGAAUUGAUGUUUUGGGGUUUAGGGUUUAGAGUUGAUGUUUCAUAGUUUAGGGUUUAAAGUUGAUGAUUUGGGGUUUAGAGUUGAUGUUUUAAAUUUAGAUCAGUUAACCUUAUGUUUUUUUUUUGUCAAAGUUAAUCAAAUGGUUAGAAAUGUCUUUUACCCUUCAUUAAAGAUGGUGUUAAAAGUGGUUAGUGUAAACAUGGAAAGUGAUACUUUGAAAA
rnacentral:lncRNA from 1 species